rnacentral:rRNA from 1 species
UAGUUUGAUUAUGGCUCAGGACGUAUUGCUGGCGGCGUGCUUAACACAUGCAAGUCGAGCGAAGCCCUUUUUUAGAACUCUUCGGAGGGAAGAGAGGGUGACUUAGCGGCGGACGGGUGAGUAACGCGUGGGCAACCUGCCUUACACAGGGGGAUAACAAUUAGAAAUGAUUGCUAAUACCGCAUAAGACCACGGUACUGCAUGGUACAGAGGUAAAAACUGAGGUGGUGUAAGAUGGGCCCGCGUCUGAUUAGGUAGUUGGUGGGGUAGAAGCCUACCAAGCCGACGAUCAGUAGCCGACCUGAGAGGGCGACCGGCCACAUUGGGACUGAGACACGGCCCAAACUCCUACGGGAGGCAGCAGUGGGGAAUAUUGCACAAUGGGGGAAACCCUGAUGCAGCGACGCCGCGUGAGUGAGGAAGUAUUUCGGUAUGUAAAGCUCUAUCAGCAGGGAAGAAAAUGACGGUACCUGACUAAGAAGCCCCGGCUAACUACGUGCCAGCAGCCGCGGUAAUACGUAGGGGGCAAGCGUUAUCCGGAUUUACUGGGUGUAAAGGGAGCGUAGACGGACUUGCAAGUCUGAUGUGAAAAUCCGGGGCCCAACCCCGGAACUGCAUUGGAAACUGUAUAUCUAGAGUGUCCGAAAGGCAAGUGGAAUUCCUGGUGUAGCCGUGAAAUGCGUAAAUAUCAGGAGGAACACCCAUUGGAAAGGGGGCUUGUUGGAAAAUGAACUGAACGUGAGGC